AGAACGAACGCUGGCGGCGUGGAUAAGACAUGCAAGUCGAACGCGAUUUAUCGAGUUAGCAAUAACUUGGUAAAUUGAGUGGCGAAAGGGUGCGUAACACGUGGGAAUUUACCGAGAAGUGGGGAAUAGCUUGACGAAAGUCAAAUUAAUACCGCAUGUGAUCGAAAGAUCAAAGCCGGGGACCGCAAGGCCUGGCGCUUCUUGAGAAGCCCGCGGCCCAUCAGCUAGUUGGCGGGGUAAAAGCCCACCAAGGCUAUGACGGGUAGCUGGUCUGAGAGGACGACCAGCCACACUGGAACUGAGACACGGUCCAGACACCUACGGGUGGCAGCAGUCGAGAAUUUUUUCACAAU
rnacentral:rRNA from 1 species